AUCCAGUUGAGAAGUCCCAAAUAGGACGAAACACAUGUCCUAGAU
rnacentral:hammerhead_ribozyme from 1 species